rnacentral:lncRNA from 1 species
CCUGACCUCAAGUGAUCUGCCCGCCUUGACCCCCCAAAGUGCAGGGAUUACAGGCUUGAGCCACCGUACCCAGCCCCUUGCCUGAUACUUGAUAAGGGUUUUACACUUUUAUUAUCUCAUUAGGCACCACAAAACCUUAUAAGAGAAAUGGGGCUUAUUUCAGAGAACAGAUAAAGGAAAAGCUACGCAGACAGCACAGGGUCUGCCACUCCCGGAACAAGGCAAGGCUGGAGCUGCUAACUUUGUAUUGGAAGCGUUCACCAGGACCCUCCCUUCCCAUCACCAUCCGGGCUCACAGGGGGGCAGAUUGAGCACCCACUUGCCCAGCAGAGAUGCGCACUCUAAGCUUCCCUCCACCAAGCGGUCAGGAAAUAGACAAAGCCAGAUACAACUCUCCAUGGCGGUCGACACUGCAGAGGGGAGUAUGUGUGGGGGUUUCACAGUGGGCCACUAUUUAUAUCUGCAUGAAUCAGCAGCCUUAAGCUGUUUCUGAAAGCUUAAGCAGUUCCUGUAUGUUUAAGAAAGCAAUGGUUAAAUAUAUGCCCUAUUUCAUCAGCAACGUUAUGGAAUAAAUAUUUCAACGAUACCCUGCUAUGUUGACUCUGUGCUAAGAAAAAAACAAGCAUUUUUAUUAAAGAUGACCCGCCAAAGUGAAGAAAGCCCUGUUAAUUCUUGCAGAUUAGGUGCCCAAUAGGAGUAGGUAUCACCUGGAAACCAAGCUGUGUAAUAAGGAAACAGCAUGUUCACAGAACAUGUCUCUUCCAGUGCCUGGUGCCCCACCCCAUGUGUCCAUAAUCAACACCAAGCAGACAUGCACCUGUGCAAAAGUCAGAUACUUAAAAACUGGUAGAAAAAACAUAUGAAUCAAAUCAUUCCUAUGGUAGAGCUUCAUGCUUGUGUUAGGUUAAAAUAUAAAAGCAAAUCCACUACAAAUGACUGGUAGGAGCACCCUAGUGGGAAGAAAAGCCGGAUUUGCACAGCGUGCCUACUGGAUGUUACAUGAACAUGAACUUGAGAGGUGCUUGACCUCCCCUGCUUGCCUUGCCGUGUGCAGACAGCACUAACUUCUUAUUGUCCAGGAUGUGUAAAGAGAUUAUUCUCAUGGUCUGCGGUGCUAACAUCCUAUAAACCUGCCACAAAUACAAAAUUAGCAAUACUGAGCUGUUGCUCCUAGGAGAAACACAGUGUUAGGUUCCUGAGAGCCUCUGGUCACACCUUCAUCAACCCAUCAAUACAUAACCUAGUUUUAUGUGUACUCUUGAUUAAGGACACCUUAUUUAUACAUAUUGUUGACUCAUUAACAUUGUAUCGGCUGGGUGUGGUGGCUCCCAUCUGUAAUCCACCAAUUUGAAAGGUUGAGGCAGGUGGAUUGCUUGAACCCAGGAGUUUGAGACCAGCCUGGGCAACAUGGUGAAGCCCCCUCUCUACCAAAAGCACAAAAAUUAGCUGGGUGUGGUGGUAUGUGUCUGUAGUAACAGCACUUUGGGAGGCCAAGGCUGGCAGAUCCCUUGAGCUCAGGAGUUCGAGACCAGCCUGGGCAACAGAGUGAGACUCCAUCUCUACAAAAUACCAAACAAAAAUUAGCUGAACAUGGUGAUACGUGCCUGUAGUCCCAGCUAUUUGGGAGGCUGAGGCGGGAGGAUCACUUGAGCUCAGGAGGCAGGGGUGGAAAGGACAUGCUUGGCUCAGUAAGCCAAGAUGGCGCCACCGCACUCUGGCCUGGGUGACAGAGCAAGACCCUGUUUCCAAAACAAAACAACCAAAACAAAAAUGGUGCAUUCACGGCCAAUGGCACUAUGACUCAGACAUGAAUGAAGUUUCUCUAAAGUGUGUUUUCUUCAUGAGCACACCACAGCCUUCUCGCACUUGGGAACCCCAGACAGCACUGCAGCACUACGAUAGGGGCCAUUCCAUACAGCAAAACCACCAACAAACGGCACACAAUUUCAAAAACCAUAGCACUAAAGAGAUGGCAAAAAGGACACUUGUUUAGGGUACAAGAGCUGAGACCAGAAGGCAGAGCGUGGCCCCAUUCAGCCUCAGCUGGGCACCUGCGGGCUGGAUGACUCAGACUCUCCACUGCUCUGUGUGGCUGUGAAUAACUCUGAAGGCGCAUGAGCUUUUAUAUUUCAGUGUUACAAAUAAAUUUUAGUGAGUAGGCAAAAUCACAAAUAUGGAAUCUGUGGAUAAGGAGGACGAACUGUGCAGAAGUGUGAGGCGUCCAUGGUCUGACCCACUCGAGCUGGAGGAGGCAUCUGAUCCUUACUUACCAAUAACCACUUGUCUCUCUUCUGCCUCCUGCUGGGUCCCUUUCCACCUGCUUAAAACAGGCAAAAGCCGGUGAUCAGAAUCUCUGCCGCACGACGUGGCAGGGAAAAAAAGAAUACCAGGCAGGCACACAUCAUGUGCUUGCCAAGGCAUCUCAAUAUGUUAAUUUCUUUGUUUUAAAAAAAUAAGGGCCUAGAGUAAUAAGAAGUAGACUCCAAUGCAACACACGGAGACAAAAGAUUCUUUGUAGCUAUUUUAUAAACAAUAAUACUUCCCAUAGUGUUAAAAUAAAUAAGAGUCCCUGAACGCUGACUCUGAAUUCCAUUUAAAUAUUCAUGAAGAUUCUGAACUCGAUCUCCAGAAAAGAUUUCACAAUAAAAUAUUCCGUUUAUCCCAUCUCUCUUGCUAUGCUCCCAGGGUCAUUUCACUGCCUGGUGUGACGGACUUGAGAGCCGUUGGAAGCACAGGAGACUCAGCUUGUUCUAUGUGACCAGCGAAUCUAGGCCAGGUUGGGACUGAUGGGGCCCGACAUGGGGAGAGGGCAGGCGAGUCAACACAAGGAAAAGAACCCCAGAGAGCAGCCAUCUCCACAAGCAAGAACCCUGGCUAAUACAAGGCCUGUCGACACCACAAACUGCAUGCCCUGAAACCCAGAGGGAAAAGGGCAUUGUCGCCGAUACCUGUUCCCGUCGAUGGAGACCCCAGCCAUGGAGCUGCCCCCUCCACCAUGCAUUCCAAAGGUGUCUAGAAGGGAAAGAAAGGCUUGUAUGCUUGAAGGGGGAAAACUGGAAGGCAGAGAUCUGAGACAGCUGGUCAACUUGCUACAAAGCCUUAUUCAGGGCAGAACAGGCUCUUGUGGCGCACCUGGCAUGGAUCAAGGGCUGCCCAGGACAGUCCUAAGAUGCAUUUUUUGACAUGAGAAACAGAGCAUGGUUGCCAGAACAACCUCACCCCCAGAAGAUGCAGCAAAGGGUUUACUGCUUGCUUUUAUGUGGAACACGAGAUGGGAUCACAGGGCCUCAGAAUGGAGGAAAAGCCUGUGGUAACAGAAAAAGGCAUUUGUUUCAAAGCAGAUCCCUGGGGGGGAAGAGGAAGACUGGGUGGGGGCAUAGGAGGUGGUCCCCUGGAGGAAGAACCAGCCCCUCCAAUGGGAUCCAUGGGGCAGAAUUAGGACCAAGGGAGAAAAACUUGCAAGCCGGCCAAGAUAUGAGCACUGAUAAAGGUGCCUAGGGCUGGAAGUUAGGAGCCCACCUACGACCGUGAACCCGGACAGGUGGUAGAGCUGCCUUCAAACCCCCACACCAAAAGCCUACACCAGAGGAGAGAGGCAGGAAGAUGCACACACUGAAGAACGGUAGGGGGUGACCUGAAAGUGACUCCCCAUCUCUCCUGGGAGGGUGGGGCUGGCAGAGUCAGGAAGCAGACAAAUGGUAAUGCAGACCCUGGGGGAGUGCAGACCUGUGGAGGUGCACACGUGUCUUGUGGAGAGAGAAGCUGGGAGGGCACUACUUUUUCAGCAAAAGAAGCAACACCACCCACAGGACAGGGAGAACAAUGCGCCCAAGGGCUCGUCACUUCCUUACUCUCUAGUGUGACUUCCAGAACUUGUACCUGAGGUUGCCAUCUGUUAGUGGUGUGUGUAUCAUAAGGAAGCCUCUGCUUUUGCAGAAAUAUCUGAGGGGUAGAAUGGAGAGACAGGAUGCCGAGGUUUAAAUGUGGCUCUGCCCCGAGGCACUUACUACUCAACCUCGGUCUGGGCAAUUUCCUCAUCUGUAAAAUGGGACGUGCCUCAAAGAGCUGCUGGGAAGAUUCAGUGACUUGCACGUGAGUGUCAGUUCCCUGUUGCUGCUGUAACAAAUGAUGCAAUGUGAAUGUAUGCUCUUACUGUUCUGGAGGUCAGAAUCCUGAAAUAAAGGUGUGCUGUCAGCAGGGCAGCAUUCCUCCUGGAGGCAGUAAGGAAGAAUCCAUUUCCUCCCCUCUGCCAGGUUCUAGAGGCCAUCUGCAUUUUUGGGCUCAUGGCUCCUCCUCCAUCUUCAAGACCAGCAUGGCAGCAUCUUCAAAUCUCUCUCCGACCUCCGUGCCUGUUGUCACAUGACUGCUGACUCUGACCCUCUGCCUUCCUCUUAUAAGGACCCUUGUGAUAACAUGGGCCUGACUCAGAUAGUCCAAAACUAUCUCCCCAACUCAAGAUCUCAAACUUCAUCACAUCUGCAAAGUCCCUUUUGCCAUGUAAAGUAACAUGUGCACAGGUUUGGGGGAUUAGGAUGCAGACAUGUUUGGGGGGACAUUCUUUUAGCAACUGCAAUAUUGAAAGCUGUCAGAUCCUGGGUGACUACAGAAACGUGAGCUUUAAGUGCCACAGACCGUCACUGAAAUGACAGUGGUGAGUAGGAUGCUGAUGAGGAUACACAUCUGGUGUGAGCAAGCCCUGCAGAAAGCCAGAGAGUAAACACCUUCAGCUUUGAGGACCACACGGUCUCUGUCACAGCUCCUCAACUCUGCCCUCCUAGCACAGCAGCAAACACAGCAAACACAUCUACCAUGUGCCGGGCCCCGAGUGGGACAGCUGCCUUGAAUGAAGACAUGAAAAAAACAGACUCUGUCCUAACUAGACACUUUCCAAGAUCUGAAAGGCCUACUCCAAGAGACAGCAACUUGGGAAUGUUUUAAAACUCCAUGUUCUGAAAAGCAUAGCGACUCUUUGCCCUGAGUUCCUCGUCAUGUGAGCGGGCCUCUUACACCGCCCCCGCAAAGGUGAACCAUUCCAGGUUAAGCAGGGAUUUGGACGUGCCCAUCAUGAACAGCCUUGGGUUCACACCCGCCAAGGACCAUCUCUUUCCCCUACCUGUCCCUGCUGCACCGGCUGAAGUGAGCACCAUUCCUGGAGGCCUGCGGCUGAGGUCUCACACGGAUUGAAAUCAAUUUGGCCACAUUAAUGUCUCAGCUGACUGAGAUUUCUCUUUCUCAAGUAAACACCAUUCCUUAAAUGCCAGCUCUGUGGAGCUUAUUCUCAAAAUGUUCAGAAAAAGGAAAAACCCAUGAAGAAGAAUCAUAGCACUAAAACCAAUGCGAGAGUUUUCAGAUACCUUUAAAGCAACAGGCGAGGCCAGGCGCGGUGGCUCACGCCUGUAAUCCCAGCACUUUGGGAGGCCUAGGCAGGCAGUUCACCUGAGGUCAGGAGUUUGAGACCAGCCUGGCCAACAUGGUGAAAACCCAUCUCUACUAAAAAUAUAAAAAUUAGCCAGGCAUGGUGGCACGUGCCUGUAGUCCCAGCUACUGGGGAGGCUGAGGCAGGAGAAUCACUUGAACCCAGGAGGUGGAGGUUGCAGUGAGCCGAGAUCACCCCACUGUACUCCAGCCUGGGUGACAGAGUGAAACUCUGUCUUAAAAAAAUAAAAAAGAGAGAAUUAUAUAAAAAAGUAAAACUAAAAUAAGGCAACAGGCAAAAGAAGCAAGACCAUGUGUUUGUGUGUUUGUCUUUGCUAUUUAUUUCUCUAUCUUGUUGACAAUCAUUUUGGUCUCUGAAGAUCAUGUUAGCAACCAAAAGCCAGAGCUGAAACAGUUCUCCACUAACGAACAGGUUCAUAGAGAGCUGGUGCAGGCCGGGUGGGUUCAGGCCUCCUCGCCUCCCGGACUCCAGCCCAUGUGCACCCUCAGGGUUCCCAACAGCCCUCCCUAAAGAACAGCCAGAGACUGUGAGCAGGAAAACACCUCCAAUGAAGGGUAACGCACACUGGUACCCACUGUAAGUCCUCAAGGUGAUUCAGCCAGCACUGGGUUUCCAGUUCCAAGUAACCUUCAUUUCUCCUUGGUACUGACUCUUCCACCUUCCUUUCCCUCCCUGAGAUGUCUUGAUUGGCCUGACCUUUUUUGAAAUGUCACUGUUAGCUGUCGCUUUUAAGUUGGAAGACCGAGAUUUGUAGCAUCAGUCACAUACUUCUGCCCUGACAAACCCCAGUCCUCUGCGUGGAGUCAGAACAUGUCACUUACCAGCCCUGUACAAGCUAAGACGCUGUGCAGGGACCUCUGGGUUCCUCAGGAUCGAUAGAGCCUGUGUCUAGAAGAGUUUAAGAGUCACCAAACACUAGAUGCACAGAUGCUCUCAAAGCUCAAAGGAGAUGGAAGAAAACAUCCCUUGGGGAGAACAAGUGACGGGAGCACAGAAAUCUUUUGAAACUCCCCAAGUCAUGUGGUAACAGGGACGUGUCCAAAACAAAAGCCCCAAAUGCCUUCAGUGAUCACUGCUGCCUGCCUGAUGGAGGCUCCCCAGGACCUCGCUUCCCUGAGAGCCCGGUGAGGCCCCUCCUAUGUGACCUUCGGAUGAUGGACAAGUGACAUCGUCAGCCCCCUGGGGUCUCCCAGAUCCUACAACUUCCUGAGGACAUUUACCUUCAUCAAUUGGUGGCCAAUGCACCUGGAGUACCCAGAGGGCCUGGCCUUG